rnacentral:rRNA from 1 species
AUUCCAGCUCCAAUAGCGUAUAUUAAAGUUGUUGCGGUUAAAAAGCUCGUAGUUGGAUUUCUGUCGAAGACUUCUGGUCCAUACCAUGUAUGUGUAUCUAGAAAUGCUUUGGCAUCCUCUCGGUGCCCGUCGCCGCCUUAAUUGCGUGGUACGGUGCCCGAGACUUUUACUUUGAGGAAAUUAGAGUGUUCACGGCAGGCAAUCGUCAUGAAUAUAUUAGCAUGGAAUAAUCAUAUAGGACCUAGGGUUCUUUUUGUUGGUUUCAGAAUUUUAGGUAAUGAUUAAUAGGGACAAUUGGGGGCAUUCGUAUUGUCACGUCAGAGGUGAAAUUCUUAGAUUGUGAUACGACGAACUAAUGCGAAAGCAUUUGCCAAGGAUGUUUUCAUCA